rnacentral:rRNA from 1 species
GACGAACGCUGGCGGCGUGCUUAACACAUGCAAGUCGAACGGAAAGGCCCUGCUUUUGUGGGGUUCUCGAGUGGCGAACGGGGGAGUAACACGUGAAUAACCUGCCCUUGACUUUGGGGUAACUUCAGGAAACUAGGGCUAAUACCGUAUAGGAGCUCCUGCUGCGUGGUGGGGGUUGGAAAGUUUCGGCGGUUGGGGAUGGACUCGCGGCUUAUCAGCUUGUUGGUUGGGUAGUGGCUUACCAAGGCUUUGACGGGUAGCCGGCCGGAGAGGGUGAACGGCCACAUUGGGCCUGAGAUACGGCCCAGACUCCUACGGGAGGCAGCAGUGGGGAAUAUUGCACAAUGGGAGGAAGCCUGAUGCAGCAACGCUGCGUGUGGGAUGACGGCCUUCGGGUUGUAAACCGCUUUCGCCUGUGACGAAGCGUGAGUGACGGUAAUGGGUAAAGAAGCACCGGCUAACUACGUG